UACGGGGGGGGCCAGCGUUGUUCGGAAUUACUGGGCGUAAAGGGCGUGUAGGCGGCCUUCUAAGUCGGACGUGAAAUCCCUCGGCUCAACCGGGGAACUGCGUCCGAUACUGGAGGGCUUGAAUUCGGGAGAGGGAUGCGGAAUUCCAGGUGUAGCGGUGAAAUGCGUAGAUAUCUGGAGGAACACCGGUGGCGAAGGCGGCAUCCUGGACCGAUAUUGACGCUUAAGCGCGAAAGCCAGGGGAGCAAACGGG
rnacentral:rRNA from 1 species